UACAAUGGAGAGUUUGAUCCUGGCUCAGGAUGAACGCUAGCGGGAGGCUUAACACAUGCAAGCCGAGGGGUAUUAGUGAGCUUGCUUACUAAGAGACCGGCGCACGGGUGCGUAACGCGUAUGUAACUUGCCUUUAUCACGGGGAUAGCCCGAGGAAACUCGGAUUAAUACCGGAUAACAUAAACAUCGGCAUCGAAGUUUAUUAAAAGAUUUAUCAGAUAGAGAUAGGCAUGCGUAGGAUUAGCUAGUUGGUAAGGUAACGGCUUACCAAGGCAAUGAUCCUUAGGGGGCCUGAGAGGGUGAUCCCCCACACUGGAACUGAGACACGGACCAGACUCCUACGGGAGGCAGCAGUGAGGAAUAUUGGACAAUGGGUGAGAGCCUGAUCCAGCCAUCCCGCGUGAAGGAUGACAGCCCUAUGGGUUUUAAACUUCUUUUGUAUGAGAAUAAACCUACUCUCGUGAGAGUAGCUGAAGGUAUCAUACGAAUAAGCAUCGGCUAACUCCGUGCCAGCAGCCGCGGUAAUACGGAGGAUGCGAGCGUUAUCCGGAUUUAUUGGGUUUAAAGGGUCCGUAGGCGGAUUAGUAAGUCAGCGGUGAAAUCCUACAGCUCAACUGUAGAACUGCCGUUGAUACUGUUAAUCUUGAAUAGUAUUGAAGUAGCCGGAAUGUGUAGUGUAGCGGUGAAAUGCAUAGAUAUUACACAGAACACCAAUUGCGAAGGCAGGUUACUAAAUACCGAUUGACGCUGAUGGACGAAAGCGUGGGGAGCGAACAGGAUUAGAUACCCUGGUAGUCCACGCCGUAAACGAUGGAUACUCGUUGUUGGGAAUUAAUUCUCAGUGACUAAGCGAAAGUAAUAAGUAUCCCACCUGGGGAGU
rnacentral:rRNA from 1 species